GCGGUGGUAGCUCAAUUGGUAGAGCGCCAGUCCUCCAAACUGGUUAUUUUUUGUGCGGGUUCGAGUCCCGUCCACCGCUC
rnacentral:tRNA from 1 species